rnacentral:rRNA from 1 species
UAGGGAAUCUUCCACAAUGGACGAAAGUCUGAUGGAGCAACGCCGCGUGAGUGAAGAAGGGUUUCGGCUCGUAAAACUCUGUUGUUAAAGAAGAACAUAUCUGAGAGUAACUGUUCAGGUAUUGACGGUAUUUAACCAGAAAGUCNCGGCUAACUACGUGCCAG